AGGUCUCCUGAAGGAACGUUGAAGACGACGACGUUGAUAGGUCGGGUGUGUAAGUGUAGCGAUACAUUGAGCUAACCGGUACUAAUGAACCGUGAGGCUUAACCUUACAACGCCGAAG
rnacentral:rRNA from 1 species